rnacentral:rRNA from 1 species
AUUGAACGCUGGCGGCAUGCUUUACACAUGCAAGUCGAACGGGCUGGGGCGAACUCCAGUCAGUGGCGAACGGGUGAGUAAUACAUCGGAACGUACCUCGUAGUGGGGGAUAACUCGGCGAAAGCCGUGCUAAUACCGCAUAUGCUCUACGGAGGAAAGCAGGGGACCGUAACAGGCUUGUGCUAUGGGAGCGGCCGAUGUCCGAUUAGCUAGUUGGUGAGGUAAUGGCUCACCAAGGCGACGAUCGGUAGCUGGUCUGAGAGGAUGAUCAGCCACACUGGGGACUGAGACACGGCCCAGACUCCUACGGAGGCAGCAGUGGGGAAUUUGGACAAUGGGGGCAACCCUGAUCCAGCCAUGCC